GGGAAGGUGGCUCAGUGGUAGAGUGCAUGCCUUACACACAUGAGGCUCUGUGUUCCAUUCCU
rnacentral:tRNA from 1 species